UCCAGGGGCGGGAAUCGAACCCACAACCUUCUGCUUACCGGGCAGGUGCCUUGUCCACACUUGUCCAG